CUGCGCCUGAGCUGAUGGUUCCAUUUGCCAACAAAUCACGUUUAUAAUUUGCUGAUGUUGCUUAGCUUUUGGGCUUAGAUUGAUGCUGGUGCGUUGCCAUUCGCGCCUAAUAAUUUGCUCUGCUUUGCAGGUUUAUGUUAAGAAUUUAUUUUUCCCGCAUUCUUCAUCUGCGUGCCUCAAGUGGAAAUCUCGAUCCAAAGCUAUUCUAACAGAACUCAAGAGUUUUGAUGCUGACCUCAUGUGUAUACAGGUGGUGCUCAAAAUAUAAUUGAAAGUUGCUUCUAAGGGAAAAUUAUCAGGCAUGGUUGACAUUAUGGGAUAAACCCAGCAGGGUUAUUGGUUAUUUGCAGAGAUUCAGCUAUAACAAUGGGGUUUAUUUACAAGAUACACUUUGUUCUGUAAAUUUGUCUCUCUUCCAAUGGUUCACUAUCUGAUUUUGAAAGCAUUAUUCAUAUAUUCUCAUGCGAUAGUUGUAGACCAAAUGAGCAGUGGUCGAAACGAGAUGCGGAUCUUAUUUUGUUCAUUCAUGAUUACAAAGUUCUUGCCAUGAUAAAGUUUGGGUGCUAGAUGGAGGUUUGCCUCAAUGGCGUGUUUCUGUGUAUGAUGUUGAAUCAAGCGCCUCCAGUGAUGCCAUCUUAAAGGCCAGUGCUGCUGGUGAAGCAAUUGAGAAAGUUUACCAGGGUCAAUCGGUUGGUCCAUUCACAUUUGAAGCAAAGUUGCAGACCCAUCUUAUUUGGAGCCAUGAUCAGGUCAGUGUUGAAAGGGUCCCAAACCUGCUUAUUGUUUUUCUUUGCGACUCCCUAAACUCUUUCUGCACAUUCCAUUGCAACUAAUAUAUGAUUUUCUCAGGUGAAAGAGAACAUCAAGACCCAGACACAUCAACUUAUAGAUGCUCGAUCAAAACCUAGGUAUCUUACUUGUAUUCUGAAAUUUGAAGUCUUGUAUGUUCUGUCCAAUUUCCAUGUAAUAAGUCACAUUGUUAAUUUUUACAAUCAUAUCAAGUGCCCAACCAGAGAGUAAUGGGCAGCUUGUUAUUAAGUUUGCUACAGAGAGAGGCUCAAAAGUAGGCUUAAUGUAUGAACUCUUUGUUUUAAUUUUAAUGUAUGAACUCUUUCAUUUAAUCUCGAUGUAUGAGCUCAUGUGAUUGAAUUU